rnacentral:rRNA from 1 species
AGUGAACGCUGGCGGUAGGCCUAACACAUGCAAGUCGAACGGCAGCACAGUAAGAGCUUGCUCUUACGGGUGGCGAGUGGCGGACGGGUGAGGAAUACAUCGGAAUCUACUUUUUCGUGGGGGAUAACGUAGGGAAACUUACGCUAAUACCGCAUACGACCUACGGGUGAAAGAAUGGGAUCUUCGGACCUUGCGCGAUUGAAUGAGCCGAUGUCGGAUUAGCUAGUUGGCGGGGUGAAGGCCCACCAAGGCGACGAUACGUAGCCGGUCUGAGAGGGUGAUCAGCCACACGAGAACUGAGACAGGGCCGAGACUCCUAGGCGAGGACGCAGUGGGAAAUAUUGGACGAUGGAGGCAAGGCUGAUCCAGCCAAACCGCGUGAGUGAUGAAGGCCUUCGGGUUGGUAAGCCCUUUUGUUGGGAAAGAAGAGCAGCAGGUUAAUACCCCGCGGUUCUGACGGUACCCAAAGAAUAAGCACCGGCUAACUUCGUG